rnacentral:misc_RNA from 1 species
GUAGGUGAACCUGCGGAAGGAUCAUUACUGAGAGUACCAGGCUUCUGUCUGGCUACUUUUACCCAUGUUUUUCAAGUACCAAAGUUUCCUCGGCGGCUCUGCCCGCCGGUUGGACUCAUUCAAACCCUUUGUAGUUGCAGUCAGCGUCUGAUAAAACCUAAUAAUUAAAACUUUCAACAACGGAUCUCUUGGUUCUG